GGUACAUAUCGAUCAAUUUGAACUGCUAUUAAUAGGUUUACAUUCAAAAAUAGCAAUUACAAGUAAAUGUGUGUAAUAGCACCACAAACGUAACAUUUUAAAUGAUUCGAGGGUUCCUAAGGUCAAUGCGAAAUAGUUACCAUCAUGAUCACAGACUGUUUGCACGUUUAUGAUGUGAAAUUAUUUCCUAUUAACAUAGGCGUUUUCGUCUGAGGUAGGUGUAAUAAUUCAGACAUGGGUUCCAUCGAACAGCCGAUGACACUGGGAACGCCGGUUUGCUGGUAAAAACCGGUUCUUAUUAACACCAUUACCAUGUUUGUUGUUGGUCAUGUAAUGAAGCGUCCUGCCCGAAUGUCCGACUGACAAUUGCGUCAGUAACUUCUUUCACAGCGUUAACCCCCUUCCCCACAAUCACGCACUUUAACGAAUAUACCGUUGCUCCACAAUCAUGCACUUUAACGCACUUUCAACGUGCAUUUAUUUUACUGUGUUACUUUUUGUUAAUGUAGCGAAAAGUUAAUUUUUUAAUCCAAUACAUGGGAAAAUUCAUUCCAUAGUAUAUAUAACGUCGUAAUUGAUCAUAAACGUAAACACAUAUGUCAUUUCACUUAACAUCUUGGGGUGUGCGACAAAAAGUGACAAUAUGAGCGAUUCACCGGAUUUAUUCGAUACAUGUAGUUCCGACAGUAGCGAAAACACAGAUUCGGAAGAUAUAUCCAUUGCGGACUCGGACAUUUUCGAUUUAGAAGAUGAACUAGUUCAACCAUUACAGCCUUUAGAACUUGAAUGGUCCUCUGAAUUAGAAGCUACAGAGACACCGCCAUUUUUGUGUGAAGUUGGACCCUCGCAUAAUCUGCGACGGUCAGACAAUGAGAAGAGCUUCUUUGAUUUGAUUUUUGAUGAAAGAUGCAUUGAGGUAUUGACCGAGGGAACAAAUAAAUAUUCCAAAGAGACACAAGAGUUGAUAGGUAGAGUAUUAUUAAUAUAUUUGUAGUUUAUUUACAUAAGGGAAUACCGGGUAAUCUUUGUUAAAUGUAAACAAAAUAAAUUUUCAAAAGUAUCAUUAAAAUCGCUUAUUGUAGGCCCACAAUAAUAAAACUUGCAGUGAUUUUGAUUUGAUUCGUCUAAUCCUAAUUUCAACAGAUGCGUUGCAUUUAGAUUCACACAGGCCUACUUUUUUAAAUUCUUAUUUCUAAUCAUUGAAAGCUUGCAGGAAAUUUAGAUUGAUUAGAUAUUUCGCAUAAGUUACGUACUUUUUAUAUUCACCCCUUUCGCCUACGCAAAUGCUGAACAUCUUACAUAGGAAAUUGACUUUGAGGUUAUUGGGCGAAAAUAAGAACUUUGUAAUACUAUACAGUAAUCAUUUUCAUUUUGACAUUUGUGAAUUCAUUUUAUUUUGGAACAACAUCACAUUGUUGUGUUUUUUUUUUACACGAUUCACGAGAAAUUAUAGCUAAAGGAGCUAGCUGUCAAAGUUGGUGGGUUAUUGUUAAAUAAAAAACUUUUGGGGUUUUUGUUCGGUGGUUAACUUGGUGGAUAUAUAAAUACAAUAUGGUUCGAACAACCACCCUGUCAUUUUAAAUUUUUACCAUUUUUAUACUUACACUGACAAAUCAACUGCUGAAUGAUGUCACAACUCUGUAAAACAGUAAAAAUCCCUAUGUGUGUUAUAUCUAUAUAGACACCAAACGGGAAUGUAGCAAUACUUAUUGGACAGAGUCGGAUAACUUUUGAGCUAAACGCGGGGCCAUUUGUAUAAAUCAAUAUGACAUGUAUAUUAUUUGGAAUACUUCUAUCCACAUCAUAAAAUAAUGUCACGUUACCCGGAUAGUUUUGGAUUUUACAAAAUCUGAUAAAAUAAAAUUUCCAAUUGCUAUCAGGUCAUGAUCCAGCCUGGUAUGAUUGUACAACAGAUAAAAUGAGAACGUACCUGGGCCUGUUCAUCAUCAUGGGUAUUAACAAGUUACCAGACUACAAACUCCACUGGAGCAAAAAUACGUUUUCGCAAACCCUGGGUUUAUUCAUGUAAUGCCAGUCCGAAGAUACGAGAAGAUAACUCAAUACCUCCAUUGUAGUUCCGCGGACACUGAUGACCCGCUCUGUAAAAUUCGCCUCAUCUUGGAAAAUAUCUCAAAACGUUACAAACCCCGACAAUACCAGACUAAACAGUAUAUUCCAUCCAAACCAACACGUUGGAGGCUGACAGUUUGGUUACGAUGUGAUGGUGUUACUGCCUUUUGUCAUCAAGUGGACCUGUAUCUCGACAGAGAUCAAUACAGAUGGAUCCGGAAAUCUGUUGGUCAUGCGGUAGUGAAAAAAUUGACCAAAGGAUUGGAAGGAAGGAAUUUCCAUUUAUUUUAUGACAAUUUUUCCACAUCUAUAUCCCUUGCGAGGUCACUACUUGAAAAGAGGAUAUUUUCAUGUGGAACAAUCAUAAGAACAGGAAGGGAUUUCCAUCAGAUUUGAAGAUCCUACCUCGCAUGUCUCAAGGAGAAUAUGCCAUACGGCAGGAUGGUCAGCUGACUGCCACAUUAUGGAUGGACAGUCGACCUCUUGCAGUAUUGUCGACUGUUUCAUCUCCAGUGGAAAUGAGUACGAAUGAAAAUCGGCGCCUUAAGGAUUGGGUUGUAGUUUUCAUUCCCUGACCACAGAGUGUUGGUCAAUACCAAUCAUUUUUCCGAGGCGUUGACAUUUUUGACCAGUUACGAUCGAAAUAUUCAGUUGGUCGGCCCAUCAAAAAAUGGUAGAAAUAUGUCAUGUACUUCCUGAUCAACACAGCAAUCAUUAACAUAUUUCUCAUCAUGAAGGACAGUGCAGAUCUGCCCAAGAAGAGGUACAGACAGCUUGACUUCCGCCUAUCACUUGCACAACUCCUAAUCGGAGUAUUCAGGACACCACAAAAGACAGCUACCAGGCGACCACAAACCUUAAAUUCUACAACCCAUAAGUUCGGUAGACUGUCAAUCAAACGGUCUUAUUGCAAAUCCUGCUCUAAAGCUGUUCCGGAAAAGAGGAAGGACACAGCAUACGGAUGCCAGUUGUGUGAUGUACAUUUAUGUGGAAAACAAUGCUUUGUUUUAUUUCACAAUUUCUUGAGCACUGAAGAGUGAUUAUCGAAAAUUUACAACAUAGUAAAAUCUUAUUUACACGACGUGUUGCAGAAAUAUUCCAAUUAGUCUGAAUAAAUGAAAACGUUAAAACUUGUGUAAAACUAAAUCGAUUACGUUUCCGUUGUCAUGUUUGUUUGAAAUGAAGAUUAAAU